AGUGAACGCUGGCGGUAGGCCUAACACAUGCAAGUCGAACGGCAGCACAGUAGGAGCUUGCUCUUACGGGUGGCGAGUGGCGGACGGGUGAGGAAUACAUCGGAAUCUACUUUUUCGUGGGGGAUAACGUAGGGAAACUUACGCUAAUACCGCAUACGACCUACGGGUGAAAGCAGGGGAUCUUCGGACCUUGCGCGAUUGAAUGAGCCGAUGUCGGAUUAGCUAGUUGGCGGGGUAAAGGCCCUCCAAGGCGACGAUCCGUAGCUGGUCUGAGAGGAUGAUCAGCCACACUGGAACUGAGACACGGUCCAGACUCCUACGGGAGGCAGCAGUGGGGAAUAUUGGACAAUGGGCGCAAGCCUGAUCCAGCCAUACCGCGUGGGUGAAGAAGGCCUUCGGGUUGUAAAGCCCUUUUGUUGGGAAAGAAAAGCAGCAGGUUAAUACCCCGCUGUUCUGACGGUACCCAAAGAAUAAGCACCGGCUAACUUCGUG
rnacentral:rRNA from 1 species